rnacentral:tRNA from 1 species
GUCACUUUGCCGGAGUGGUUAACGGGAUCGCCUGCUAUUUCAUAGUUCAGCGGUUGGGCUUUGCCCGCGAGUGUUCGAAUCGCUCAGGUGACG